GGGGGACACCAAGGAUGGAGCUGGUGCCUGGGGAGGACGAGAGGGGUUUACGUGGGGCCUCAGUCCUGAGGUGUCUUGAUGUGACGGUGCCCUGGUCUGAGGCAUCCCUCUGGAGAGAAGCACCAAGCAGCUGCCUAAGACCAGUUGGCUGAGAAUCCUGUCUGGGGCCUCAGCUUGCGUCCAGUGAGAAGUGCGAGGGUAUAAAGGCAAAGGAGGAAGGAGUCCCCAAGGAUGCCCACCCCCAGCUGAGUGAGGAAGAUAAGCCCCGUUUCGCACUUGGCAGCAGCCGUCACGCCGGUUCUAAACGUUGGAGCCAGAGGAAGGGCAGCUCAGCAAACAAAAGGAAACGUGAUAAACUGAGGGUUGGCAGCAUGAAGAGUGAACCCUGACUGUGGACUUGGGUUACUGUGAUGGAUCAAGGCAGGUUCCUCCUUGUAAAAAGUGUGCCGUCUGGAACCGAGUGAAUGCAUAUGGCCCAUCUGCACAAUAGAGUUUUCUACACCUGCAUGUUGAGGAGGAUCCGUCCACUCCCACCUACAGUUAUGAACUGGAUGGAUUCCGAGUUCAAAAGCUAAGCAGUGCACUCUGCAGAGUGUGCUGACGUUUUCUGAAGCAUAUGGAGGGAUGAAAAUAUAGGCACAGAACAUAUAUAGUAUGUGGGAGAAUUUAAAGCUAACCUUUUAAGAAAAAAUCUUAGUGUUUCAUUUGUACAAAUGUACAUAUGUCAUAAUUAUUGAACAAGGGCAAGUUAAAUGAUUUUAAAAUAUAAAAUUAUUAGAGCAAGUUAAAUGUUUUUAAAAUAUAAAAUUGAAAUGUAGAAUUAAAAUCACAUCCCUGUGUGCCAUGAAAGUUCUGAUAUAGACUUUCAUUGAACAGAAAGGAUGGCACCCAAAUUCUAUGAAAGCCCCACUUUUUCUCAGAAACAAUAUGAAUAUCUACCCCCUGCUUAACGUCGCUCACAAAACUGCCACGCCCAUACACCAGCACUGCUCAUCUCCGGAGCAUGCCUACAUUCCCUUCUUGACUGUGUACUUUCACUUUCAAUAAACUGCUUGCCAUUUCUUUCA